ensembl:lncRNA
CAUGGAGAAACUCAAGAUAUUUCGUAGAAAAGUAUGUUAGAAGACAUCCUAAGAAAACCCUAAUAUUCAAAAAGACUAAGCCACCUAGAAACUUCAGAUUCCUGCAGAAUUUGACAGAGGUCAGAACGACAAUGCUUCCAAUAGGUCCAGACAGAUUUUGAGUUUCCUAUCAAAUUGGCGUGGUCACAACAGAUGAAAAUCAGUGGAGAGUUUUGUGAUGACACUGCACAGAAGGAAAAAGUGAGCUGGACUGACUGCCUCUUCAUCUGCUUCAGGUCAUUCUGGUCAUUCCCUUCUAAAGGUAAUUGAUUUCCAAAGGUCACGGACUCUCCUAAAAAAAAAGUACAAUGUACUUCAAAAUCUAUGGGUUUUUUUCCUACUCUCAACUUAAACAAGCUCUUUUCUUGCUAUUCCCUUCUCACAUAAAACACAGAUUACUCGUGGAUCAGAAAAGUAGAAGGGCUAAGAAAAGUGAGCCAACUAGACCAUGACAUUGUGAGAGACUUGCUGAAGUCUUUCUAACUGAUCAGGGAGCUCACUAUUGCCAAUGCUAGUGCAUCCUCUCAGACUAAGGAGGAGUUGAAAUCAGUUCUGUAAUCCCAGACUUGAAGAUCAGUGUGCUAAAGUUGUCCAGGUUGCUCGGUUUGAGGAUUAUUUUAGGUACUGAAGUUAAUAUUUUAAGGGUAAAAAAAUCAUAAAAUUUACUACAAAUCAUUUUUUAAAGUAAGGAUUAACCUGAAUACCCCCAUAGAAACUUAAUUUAAAAUAAGAGAGUUUUUUUUUUUUUUUUACUGGAAAGUUUUCCUGCAAGGAUGUGCACAAACAUCCCUACUCUAUCUGAAGCAAAAAGUCUGGAAAGUGAAGCAGCAAGAAAAAGAGUAAUUUGGAAAGAAAAUACAGG